rnacentral:rRNA from 1 species
AUUGAACGCUGGCGGCAUGCCUUACACAUGCAAGUCGAACGGCAGCACGGGUGCUUGCACCUGGUGGCGAGUGGCGAACGGGUGAGUAAUACAUCGGAACAUGUCCUGUAGUGGGGGAUAGCCCGGCGAAAGCCGGAUUAAUACCGCAUACGAUCCACGGAUGAAAGCGGGGGACCUUCGGGCCUCGCGCUAUAGGGUUGGCCGAUGGCUGAUUAGCUAGUUGGUGGGGUAAAGGCCUACCAAGGCGACGAUCAGUAGCUGGUCUGAGAGGACGACCAGCCACACUGGGACUGAGACACGGCCCAGACUCCUACGGGAGGCAGCAGUGGGGAAUUUUGGACAAAGGGCGAAAGCCUGAUCCAGCAAUGCCGCGUGUGUGAAGAAGGCCUUCGGGUUGUAAAGCACUUUUGUCCGGAAAGAAAUCCUUGGCUCUAAUGCAGUCGGGGGAUGACGGUACCGGAAGAAUAAGCACCGGCUAACUACGUG